AUUACGCCUUCAUGAAGUCGGAAUUGCUAGUAAUGGCAGGUCAGCAUACUGCCGUGAAUACGUCCCCGGGCCUUGUACACACCGCCCGUCACACCAUGAGAGUUGGGAAUACCCGAAGCCUGUGAGCCAACAAACGAGGCAGCAGUCGAAGGUAGAAUCAAUGAUUGGGGUGAAGUCGUAACAAGGUAAC
rnacentral:rRNA from 1 species